UAGUACGGCGAGUGAAGCGGGAAGAGCUCAAAUUUAAAAUCUGGCAGGCUACGCUUGUCCGAAUUGUAAUCUCGAGAAGUGUUUUCCGCGUUGGCCUGUGUACAAGUCCCUUGGAACAGGGCGUCAUAGAGGGUGAGAAUCCCGUCCUUGACACAGACACCCAAUGCUUUGUGAUACACUCUCAAUGAGUCGAGUUGUUUGGGAAUGCAGCUCAAAAUGGGUGGUAAAUUCCAUCUAAAGCUAAAUACUGGCGAGAGACCGAUAGCGAACAAGUACCGUGAGGGAAAGAUGAAAAGCACUUUGGAAAGAGAGUCAAACAGUACGUGAAAUUGUUGAAAGGGAAACGAUUGAAGUCAGUCGUGCCUGCCUAGUCUCAGCCUUUUGGUGUACUACUAGGUCGGCAGGUCAGCAUCAGUUUGGGAGGAUUAACAAGGGAGCUAGGAAUGUGGCAACCUCGGUUGUGUUAUAGCCUAGUUUCGCAUUGAUCUUGCUGGACUGAGGAACGCAGUGCGCCCGCAAGGGUUGGUCUUCGGACACAUUCGCACUUAGGAUGCUGGCAUAAUGGCUUUAAACGACCCGUGA
rnacentral:rRNA from 1 species